rnacentral:rRNA from 1 species
UACAGAGGGGGCAAGCGUUGUUCGGAAUUACUGGGCGUAAAGGGCGCGUAGGCGGCCUUCUAAGUCGAACGUGAAAUCCCCGGGCUCAACCCGGGAACUGCGUCCGAUACUGGAAGGCUUGAAUCCGGGAGAGGGAUGUGGAAUUCCAGGUGUAGCGGUGAAAUGCGUAGAUAUCUGGAGGAACACCGGUGGCGAAGGCGACAUCCUGGACCGGUAUUGACGCUGACGGCGCGAAAGCCAGGGGAGCAAAGCGGG